GCACAAGCGGUGGAGCAUGUGGUUUAAUUCGACGCAACGCGAAGAACCUUACCCAGGCUUGAACUGCAGAUGACCACCUACGAAAGUAGGCUUCCGCAAGGACAUCUGUAGAGGUGCUGCAUGGCUGUCGUCAGCUCGUGUCGUGAGAUGUUGGGUUAAGUCCCGCAACGAGCGCAACCCUUGUCUUCUGUUGCCAUCGGGUCAAGCCGGGCACUCUGAAGAGACUGCCGGUGACAAACCGGAGGAAGGUGGGGAUGACGUCAAGUCAGCAUGGCCUUUAUGUCUGGGGCCACACACGUGCUACAAUGGCAGAUACAAACCGUCGCGAGACCGCAAGGUGGAGCUAAUCGGAUAAAGUCUGUCUCAGUUCGGAUUGUCGGCUGCAACUCGCCGGCAUGAAGUUGGAAUCGCUAGUAAUCGCGGAUCAGCACGCCGCGGUGAAUACGUUCCCGGGCCUUGUACACACCGCCCGUCACAUCACGAAAGCUGGCUGUACUAGAAGUAGCUGAGCCAACCCGCAAGGGAGGCAGGUUCCUAAGGUAUGGUCAGUGAUUGGGGUGAAGUCGUAACAAGGUA
rnacentral:rRNA from 1 species